GAUUUAUGAUGAUUAGAACAAUGCCUGACCUGAUAUCACCCUAUAGCAGUGGUGUUGAUCAGGAUAUGACUAAUUAAUCUUCUCUCUGAAAAA